rnacentral:misc_RNA from 1 species
AAUAACAAAUGAAAGAUGACACAGAUAGGUGGAGCUACUUAUCUAAUUUUGAUAUUAAUAAGAAUUACAAUGGAGCGUGGCAAAACAAGUACAGGCAGAGGUGCUAAAAAUAAAAUCGUUCAGCAUCCUUCUGGUUUCUUUGCACUUGGAUCGAAAAGUUCCCGUGGAGAAAAUUCGGAUUCUAAAAGACUCGGUGUUAUACAUCCUAAACCAAGCAGUACUGCUUCCACUUCUGACACAGAACGUAAAAAGGAAGCACCCGCAGGAUUUCUAUCGUUAACUCCACAAAAAAAGCCAAAACUCUCACAACAUAUCCCUCAUCAAAGACCGCCGUUUUCUAGCACUGAGGCAUGGGAAGCAGUAGCUACGGAAACUGAUCCAGCAGAUUUUGUUCCAUUAGUGUUAGAAGCUAACGAUAAUGAUGAGGGUGACAAAGUUAUUGGCAUCAUUUGCGGUGCUAUAAAAACUCUUAAAAAUCAAAGAUGGAAACCUGAUACACUAAUAUAUAUGGGAUUACUCUAUUUAGCAAAAAUUCGUGCAUCCAUUUUUUCUAAUGAUUGCAUUCUGCAUGCAUUGUCAUCUCUAUUAAAAAGAGACCAAGCUCAUAAUUAUAAGAGUAAAGGAAAUCCACUUGUACCAGUGCUUGCUGCGAAUUUAUUAAUGAAGGGAUUUCACGAUAAGAAAAAUUGGCCAGAAAUUUUUGUACAAAUUUAUAUUGAAGAUGCAUUGGGUGAACGUGUAUGGAUUGAUCAUGAAGAAUGUAAGGGCUUUGUUGAUAAUAUAUUAACAGGAUUUAAUACAAGACAACCACCCAAAAGUGUAUUACAAACAGAAUUAUCAGUAUUAACACCAAGAGAUUGUCAUAGCCCUUCUACGGUAGACGAUGAAGAACCAGGAACUUCAACUGUACAAUUUUCUGGAGAUAAAGAAAAAAUAGAAUUUCCAGUAACUCCCAGAUAUGCUCAUUGCAUGGAAAAUGUAGAAUACGUUGUAUUAACAGCUGUCAAAGAACAAAUAAAUAGGAGACAACCGGAAUCAAUAACAAGAAAUUUUUUAAAAUUACUUUCUUCGGCAUGUGGAUUUGUAGAAAUCAGAAACAUAGCUGUUCCAAGAUUAGAAAUGUGGCUACAUAAUCCUAAAUUAAUGAGACCUGCACAGGAAUUACUUAGUUAUAUUUGUUAUAAUUGUACAUCGCAUACGCAAAAAGAUGUAGAAGUUAUAAGUCAACUGGUAAAAAUGCGAUUAAAAACUAAAGCUGUGAUUAAUUUAUAUUUAAAUGGGGUAAAGGAACUUAUUGGUCUUCAUCCAGAAAAUUUAUCUACCAUUUUAAAACAUACAAUUUAUAAUGAAUUGUCAAAUGCACGUAAUCCGAAUAACAUGCCAAUGUUAGCUGUGAUUUUUCAAACAUUACCUGAGCAAGCAGCUAAAUUACUUGCAGAAAUAUUUCAAGAUUUAUUAAUGAAUAGAGAAGAUUAUUUAAGACCUUUACGUGCACUGCUCAGAGAAAUUGUACGUGUUUGUCGACACGACAUUAAUUUAGUUACAUUCGCACGUACAUUAAUGUCAGAAAGACAGGAUAUUGCACAACAACUACUAAACUUUGAAUUCAAGGAACGAGUGUUUAUGUCUCUAAUUGAUUUACUUUGUCUUUGUAUGCUUCUGGCUAUCAGUCCACAAGUCAAAGAAACUCUUGCACAACGCGGCGAUAAGGAAGAUGUAGCUAUAUUACAUCAUUUUCAAAAUUUAGUUGCAACAAUACAAUAUGAAACAGUUUUAUGGCUUCGGAAUACUGCACAACAAAUGUAUCUUAUUGGUAAAAAUGAACUGCUUCAUGGUUUACACAAGAUACUAAUGUUGGAAUCUGCUGAACAUUACUAUAAACUAGAUAAUUGGCCACCAGAAUCAGAUAGAGUGUUCUAUCUACGUCUCGUAUCGGAUGUUCCAUUAUUACAGAGCACAUUAUUAAGGUUACUAUUAAUAGGAUUUGCUAAAGAAAAUAGUAUUACACAUUCGGAAACAUUAGAUUUAACAGAUCAAUUAAUAAGAAGAGCAGCAGCAAAUUCAACAGAAAGUUUUCCAAUGUUAGAAGCAGACAAAACGGAUAUUAUUGAACUUAUCUUCAAUCUUUGCAUUUAUCAACCUCCAGGAACAAUAAAUAUACCUUCUGGAUAUGUACCACCAACUUUAGCAAUAUCAAAUUUAUAUUGGAAAGGAUGGAUAAUGUUGUUAAUUUUAGCUGCUCAUAAUCCUUCCACAAUUGGCGCUCUUGCAUGGAAACGAUAUCCUAUUUUACGAACUCUUAUGGAAAUGUGUAUUACUAAUCAUUUUGCAUAUCCUCCACCUACAAUGGCUUUACCAGAAAUUAUGGAACAAGAACGGGCCAAAGAAAUGCAUGUCGAAGCAAUGGAAAAACAAGAAAUUCUUGAAUACGAAUCUCAUUUAGCUGCAGCAUCAACAAGAAUACAAAUUUCUGAACAAACCAGUUUGCUUUUAUCUCAAUUAAUAACUAUGGAUCCAACCGGUAUUGCCAGAAGGCCACCACCAGCUGUCUUAGAACAAAUUAAAUCUUUGAAUGUAUCUCAUAGAUUAGGACAUUUGCUUUGUCGAUCUCGAAAGCCAGACUUUUUAUUAGACAUAAUACAAAGACAACAACAAAGUUCGUCACAAAGUAUGCCAUGGUUAGCAGAUUUGGUACAAAAUAGCGAAGGUUCACUCAGUCAAUUACCUGUACAAUGUCUUUGUGAAUUCUUAUUAUCUACAAGUACUCAGGCAGCUGAAAAACAGCCCAGACAACAACAAUUAUUAGCUCAUCUUCAAACUUUAUUAACUGAUCCGAAUCAAGAUCAACAACAUGCCUACGAAGUUUUAGAGUAUUUUUUAAGAAGAUUAAGUAGUCAACAAAGCAGUAGCCGCCUCCAAGCCAUCACUGGAUUAAAAAUGGUUCUUGACUCAAUACCGCUCGAAGAGGAAAGUAUGGAAAUGGAUAUUGAAGUUGAUAGAGAAAUUUGGUUGCUACGUAAGCUACCAUCGAUACCACAUUUUGUAUCAAUACGUUCUUUAGUAUCUACUGCUCUUCGUGGUGCCUGCCAAGUGGAAAAUAAUCCUGAUCUCGUACAUGCUUAUAUAUCAUAUCUUGCUGCGCAUACUACUGAAGAUGAUCUACCUGAUUUAACUGAUUUAGCAAAUGAAAUUUCACAAUUAGUGGUUGAACGUAGUACAAUUAUUGCUGCAAUUCUUCCACAGCCAGAAGGUGAUAAUCAUCAGGCUAAACAGACAUUACGUGCAUUUAUGGCAAUAUUUUGCAAUUAUCUAGAAAAAGCUAGAGCUCCUAGAGGAGAAGGAUAUGCUUGGUCUGAAAGUCAAGAUCAAAUUCUUGUUCAAUGGAGCAGUGGAGAAGAAUGUACCAUGCAUAUUUUGGUAGUUCAUGCUAUGAUAAUACUUUUGACUUAUGAUUCAUCUGACGAUGAUGAGCUAUUUGUUAAUUUAUUGGAAACGUGGUUCCCUUUAAACACAGAUCCACCUAAAGCGUUUCUUGUAGAUACGAGUGAGGAAGCAUUGCUCAUUCCAGAUUGGUUGAAAUUACGUAUGAUUAGAAGUAAUGUGCCACGAUUAGUGGAUGCAGCUUUGAAAGAUUUAGAACCACAACAAUUGGUUCUUUUUAUCCAAAGCUUUGGAAUACCUGUUUCUUCAAUGAGUAAAUUAUUACAUACACUUGAUGCUGGAGUACAAAUUGAUCCAAGUUCAGUUGGAGAGGCAGUACUUGAUAAAACUUAUAUGGCUCAGUUAGUUGAAGUUCAACAUAGAAGAGGAGCUACAGGAGGAUUAGUAUUUGUACAAGUUUUGCAAUUAUUGGAACCACAUUUACCAGAAGAAAAUGUCAUGGCAUUAAAUAAAUUGCAAGAACCAUUACCUCAAAGUGCUAUGGUACAGAAACAAUCUGUUAUUCAAUGUUCUGUAAAAACUGAUGUUCCACAUCUCAUUAAUCGACUAUUUAUUGAAAAUAUUUCAAUAAAUCAAAAGAUAGAUGCUUAUCGUCGCUUACAUAAAACACUUGCAAAAGAUCUUCAGAAGUCAGCAAAAGAAAGUGGAGCAGUGGUCUUAGCAAUACAACAUAUAUGCAGUGUUUUAAGCUCAAUGCAAGUAAAACAAUUUCUCGCAUCUUUGGUCCAUAUGUCUCAAUAUUCUUGUACUUUAAUGCGUGUAAUAUUACUACCCUUAAAAAAUCUAUCAACCCCAAAGCAAGUGGUUGAAUUGGCACGAAAUAUGUGUUUAAAUCUAAUAUCACUGAUUGGUGACAUAAAAGCACCUAUUCUCUCAAUUUUAAGAGAUUUUGCUAAUGUACAGUUAACGAACACUCCACAACGUAAAGAAUUAAUUAUGUUGAUGCAAAAUAGAGAUCCUGGAGCAAUUUUAGAAAAUACAGAUGCUGUAAAUUUAGAAGGUGUAGGUCGAAAAUUAUUAGAUAUUAGUCUCAAACAACAGAAGAAUGAUGUCCUUAUUGAAGCUAUGACAAGAUUAUUAAUUACUGAUAGUAACGAAGGCAUUGUAAGAUCUCGAACGAGAUUGUUAAUUGACUGGCUAGCUUCUGUAGAACCUGAAUUAAUUGAUACAUGUCCUAAUCUUCAAAUGAAACUUUUAUUUGGAAAAACGAAAGUACAUGUUAAAAUGGAUAAUAAUACCUUGAGUUUGCAUUCCUGCAGACCAUACUUAUUAACACUUCUAACACACAGAGCAAGUUGGACUACUUUAUAUAAAUGUGUAGGACAUUUGCUGGAUAAAUAUGAUGAUGGGUACGAUCCAAGUGCUGUAUUGGAUUUUCUUUGGGCAUUAACGUGUAAUCCUAAACUUUGGCAAGGUCGAGAUAAAUUUACACCAAAGCAUUAUGUACCUGAGAACAUAUUAUUACUACAAAAAGAACAAUUACUAAACCUUGUUGCAUAUGUAGUAGCUGAAGCUGUUAUUAUAUGUAACUGCGAGGACAGAAAUUCUGCGCUUGCCCGUAUGGAACUUCGCCUUGAUUUGUUACUGCAUUGCAUUUCAACAAAUGAUCAUUUGAUUGCUAGUGUAGUAAAGUAUUUAACAGAAAAUAUGAUGCAAAAUAAUAGUGUAAAUUCUGAUAUGGCACAUCAAUUUCUUUUACAUAUGUAUAUGAAAAUACCAAAAGUAAUAUGUUAUUUGGAUGUUAAUCAAACAACAAAGUUUGUUGCCGGUGCAAAAAUAACAGGAUGGACUGGUUCAGUUUUGGAUUGUAUGAGUCACUCUUUAUUAACAGCUUUGGCAGCAACACCACGACAAAAAUCAUGGACUUUUAAAUCUCAAGAAUUUGAAUUGUGUGCUAGAAAAAUAGCGGCUGUACAUCCAAUUUUAGUAUUACGACAACUUCCAAUGCUAGCCUCAUCAUUGAUGGGUCGAUGUUAUGUGGAGUAUAAUCAAUUUAAAACAGGUCAUCAUUUAAAUCUCUUUAUACAAGUAAUGGGAUUGCUGGAAUUAUUACAACCUUAUAUAUUUAAUGAAGAACAUAAAACAGCUUUAGAAGAUACAUUAGAAAAUUAUUUCCUAUGUUUUCAGAUUUACAGUCCGACAAAAGAAUUUAUACCUUUAAUAACCAGAUUUGUAACUUUUCUAUAUGGAUAUAUCUCUUAUGAUCCCAACAGGGCAUUAAAAUAUUUACAAAAACAUGCCCAAAUACUUCACCACUUUAAGGACACUUAUAUCUGGAAUUCCAAUUCCAAGAGAAGGAGAAGAUACAGAAGAGAUACUAUUAACACUUGCUCCUAGCCCACUUCCAUCAGAACCUGCAAUUCCCCAGCAUCGGCAACCUCUAAUUACAGUACUUAAUAAACUGCACGGAGAAGACGUAUUUGGAGUUCUUCAAGAUAUCGAACAUUUGUCUUCUCGCAAACCUGCCAUGUUGGAACCAAUAAUUGAUAAUAUAGCAGAACUACUU